UAUCCAUCUGUCAUCACCAACAUCCAGUCUGCUUUAGGAUUUACUUUGCCCUUUCCCAGUGUUAUAUUAUAUUGUUGGCAGUAACCCACUCACUCCAUUCCACCCGGCUAAAUAACCCUCCAUAUGUAGGGAAGAGGCACACAUACCAAGGACACGGAUUUGCAUCACUGCUCCAUGUAAACCAAAGAACAUCCACAGUGGUUGAGAACAGUCCACGCACACCUGCAUGCCAGCAUUUGCUCCAUUGUGGCUCAAGUGCAGUUCACCUUCUGAAUUCACCAUGAAUCCCAAAAUAUCUCCACUCUGGAGAGGCACAAGCACUCUACAAACUGCCCAGAACUCUUUUCGAUCAACUAAGGAUUCCGGAUUAUAAGGAAGGUCACUGGGCCUCAGAGUGCUUGGGUCACAAGUGGUUACUCCAUAAGACAGCGUCCCAGUACGUGAGGUGUUGGAUUUGUUAAUUUUGACAAAGAUAGUCUCAUUGAUUCUAAGUGGCCUGCUAGUGAAAACCAAAGUUCUCUCUUCCCGAGCAUGCUCCAGUCGGGCCACGGUCUGGUCAUCCAGAAUUUUAAUAUGGGCUCCCCUGAGCUGAUGGAAGCGGAGGUCACUUUCAAGCUGGGAUGGGAGGAGGUGGGAAUGCUGGGAGUUGAGGGAGUUCUGUGGGAUGGGACACAUGGCUGCCAUGACAUGGAAGUUCUCCUCCUGGAGGUUGAGGUCACAAAGGCUCACAGACAGCCGGGUGUCCUCCGUCUCUCUGCGCAAUGAAGGUCGACGGAUUGCUGUGAAGGACCUUGGACGGAGGCAAUCAGGAGGAAUAAUUUCGCUAUCUGCAAAUCAGAACAAGAAAAGAGAAAGGGUCACCCAAGGGACUAACAGUCACAUCAGCAGAAGAGAAUGGAGCUCUCUGAUGGAGAUGGAGAAACUUCUGAAGGGCAUCUACUGGGCAGCAGUGGUAGCUAAAGGAAACACUGGCAGAGGAUUGUUUAUAGACAACAACAGUGACAUCCAAACUAAUUCCAGUUAAGUACAGUAUGGAAGUAGAAAACCACUUCUGAAUCUUCUUAUCCUGAAAACCUUAUGAUGGAACAAUCCAAAAUGAAACGAGAUAGAGACAGAAGAUGAUACCCCCCCCCCCGCGCUUUCAAAGGCACUCAACAAGCUGCUGGAGAAGAGCAAAUGACAAGUAUGAAUAGCACAUUAGCUAAUGAUGCACCUAGAUUAAAGCCUAAAGGAAGUCUAGUGGUUGAUAUGCACAGAGGUAAAAGAAAAGUAUGAUGCUUCACAGCCCAUAAAAUUAGAACAUGGACCAUCAGAAGUAUGAAUUAAAGCAAACUGGAAACCAUAAAGCAAGAAAUGGACUAGCUAAACAUUGCA
rnacentral:lncRNA from 1 species